rnacentral:ribozyme from 1 species
AGUACGAUCUGGUGGGACUUGAUUUGGACGACGAGGAGGAUGACAAUGCGGCGCAUCAUGAUGAAACCUCAUCUGCCAACAGUGCCGAUGAAGGCAGUGCGCACGC